rnacentral:rRNA from 1 species
CAGGCCUACACAUGCAAGUCGAAGGUGAUCCAGGACUUCGGUUCUGGUGAAACUGGCCACGGGUGAGUAACGCGUGGGAAUCUACCCCGGGCGUGGGGAAUAACCAUGGAAACGGUGGCUAAUACCGCAUACGCCUUAAGAGGGAAAGCUUUAUGGCCCUGGAGAUGAGCCCGCGUCGGAUUAGGUUGUUGGUGGGGGGAUGGCUACCAAGCCUACGAUCCGUAGCUGGUCUGAGAGGAUGAUCAGCCACACUGGACUGAUACACGGCCCAGACUCCUACGGGAGGCACCAGUGGGGAAUAUGGACAAUGGGGACAACCCUGAUCCAGCCAUGCCGCGUGCGUGAACAAGGCUUAGGGUUGUAAAGCGCUUUCCACGGGGAAGAUGAUGACGGUACCCGU